rnacentral:piRNA from 1 species
UGUAAGUUUUACAUAUUUGGUGAUUAACAU